ACUGCUUGUAGGGCUGGUAGCCACGCCCGGAAGUCCUUCCCCCCCUGGACGCGGGACUUUAAAAUGUCGGAGCAACGCGAGGCUUGCUGAAUACGUGGUGAUGGCUUACUGUUGACAAGACCAGAGGCAGUAACAAGAAUUUUCCGCUUAUAUGAGGUAUUUCUGAAAAGAAUUCUUCCUAGCAACAUUCUAUUUAAAAGAAAGACUCAUGUAGCAGAGGACAGAGUUGCAAGAUUUGCAUAUGAAGGACAAAAAUUAUGUAAACACUCUGUGACUUCGGAUGGCAAAAACAAUGCAAAAACAAUUAUCAAGAAAAUAUGAAGAACCUAUAGCUAAAAACCCAAUAAAAACCGAACAAUACAAUCUCAUUUCAUUUCAUAGGCUAUCCUUUCCAAUCCCAAUAUGCUGAAGAACAUCCAGUCCUUUGCAAAAGAUCAAUAGCAUGAAGGGCCAAUAUAACCUUGGGAAUAUGGUGUUCCAGAGGGCAGUGCAACUCUCUUCAAGCCGUAGAAGUUUUCAGAAAAAGAAGCACUGCAUCGGAAGAGGUAGUGCUGCUGGAGUAGAAGAUCCAGGAUGGUGUAGAUUUCGUCAAACCAGCGCCACAGGAAACCAUAAUACGAAGGGUUGGAUUCAGCCAAAACCUAGUACAAAAAACAAUCAAGGGUAAGAGUAAUAAACCUGGAUGUGUCAAGACAUUUUUAUCAAUGUUUGGAACAUUUUUGUUUGGGCUACUUUGUGGAUUUGUUUGCUUGGAGAUUGUUGCAAGAUAACACAGCCUUUUUCAAAAUGAGAGCUAUGUGGCCUUUGAAUGACAUGCUGGAAGUUGUGUCCCAUUACUGAAUCAGGACCAGGAACUGAAAAGAGGAUGUACGGUAGGUAGCACACACACACAGACCAAAAUAGGUCUAAAAAUAGAGUAAUAAUGCAGUUAAUAGUAUGACAAUAUUUCAUAAUUUGCUCUGUCAAAUUCAAAAUUUCAAAAUCGUUUGAAAGUUUCAAGGCCAUGCUCAUAAAUUGGAAUCCACAUUGAUGUUUUUCUUAUUUUAAACUGCAUUUGCUUUGUUAAUUAUUUUCAGCAGAAAAAUGAAUUAUAAUUUAUAGCUUAUCUAGAUUUCCG